rnacentral:misc_RNA from 1 species
CCUCCUUUCUAAGGAUAAAUGAUAAUUAGUUCGCUAGUUAUCCGGGUUGUUGCCUUCGUAUCUCUUCAUUAUAAAUAGCUAUUGCUAUGUGUUUCUUAACGUAACCUGGGCUAGUAGCUCAGUUUGGUUAGAGCGCGCGCUUGAUAAGCGUGAGGUCGGAGGUUCAAGUCCUCCCUGGCCCACCAUAAAUUUGGGGGAUUAGCUCAGCUGGGGGAGCGCCUGAUUUGCAUUCAGGAGGUCAGCGGUUCGAUCCCGCUAUCCUCCACCAAUGUUAAUGAAUGUUAAUGGCUAUUUGUUUUAUUUGUUCUUUAAAUUGUGAAUAGGAAAUUAAAAACUGAUCAAAAUAUUUAUUUAUAAUUAUUUUUGAAUACGUACAUAAAAUUUUUCUCUGUACGUAAUGCAAUCAAGCGCAAAAGGGCAUUUAGUGGAUGCCUUGGUAUCAAGAGACGAUUAAGGACGCGGCAGGCUGCGAUAAGCUAAGGGAGUUGUCAACA